rnacentral:rRNA from 1 species
UACGAAGGGUGCAAACGUUGCUCGGAAUUAUUGGGCGUAAAGCGCACGUAGGCGGCUUUGCAAGUCGGAUGUGAAAUCCCUCGGCUUAACCAAGGAAGUGCAUCCGAAACUGCAGAGCUUGAGUACUUAAGAGGAUCGCGGAAUUCCCGGUGUAGAGGUGAAAUUCGUAGAUAUCGGGAGAAACACCAGUGGCGAAGGCGGCGCGUCUGGGCCGGUAC